UACAGAGGGUGCGAGCGUUAAUCGGAAUUACUGGGCGUAAAGCGCGCGUAGGCGGCUUUGCAAGUCGGGUGUGAAAUCCCCAGGCUUAACCUGGGAACUGCGUUUGAAACUGGAAGGCUAGAGUGUGGCAGAGGGGGGUGGAAUUCCACGUGUAGCAGUGAAAUGCGUAGAGAUGUGGAGGAACACCGAUGGCGAAGGCAGACCCCUGGGCUAACACUGACGCUAAUGCACGAAAGCGUGGGGAGCAAACAGG
rnacentral:rRNA from 1 species